rnacentral:rRNA from 1 species
UACGAAGGGGGCUAGCGUUGCUCGGAAUUACUGGGCGUAAAGCGCGCGUAGGCGGCUUUGUAAGUUAGAGGUGAAAGCCCGGGGCUCAACUCCGGAAUUGCCUUUAAGACUGCAUCGCUAGAAUCGUGGAGAGGUAAGUGGAAUUCCGAGUGUAGAGGUGAAAUUCGUAGAUAUUCGGAAGAACACCAGUGGCGAAGGCGACUUACUGGACACGUAUUGACGCUGAGGUGCGAAAGCGUGGGGAGCAAACAGG